UAGAAAUUUUUGUUCUUCUUUGGGAAAACAAGAUGUCAGGCACUGUUGGUCAGGUGAUCCAUUGCAGAGCUGCUGUUGCAUGGGAAGCAGGGAAGCCCUUGGUGAUUGAACAAGUGGAGGUAGCACCUCCACAAGCCAUGGAGGUUCGCAUGAAGAUCCUUUAUACCUCUCUCUGCCACACUGAUGUCUACUUCUGGGAAGCCAAGGGGCAAAACCCUCUAUUUCCUAGAAUCUAUGGUCAUGAAGCUGGAGGGAUUGUGGAGAGCGUGGGUGAGGGAGUGACUGACCUGAAACCAGGGGAUCAUGUCCUCCCAAUUUUCACUGGGGAAUGCAAGGAAUGUGCCCACUGCAAAUCAGAAGAGAGCAACAUGUGUGACCUCCUCCGGAUCAACACUGACAGAGGAGUCAUGCUCAGUGAUGGGAAGUCGAGAUUCUCCAUCAAAGGACAGCCCAUAUAUCACUUUCUAGGGACUUCAACGUUCAGCGAGUACACCGUGGUUCAUGUCGGCUGCAUCGCCAAGAUCAACCCGCUCGCUCCUCUGGACAAAGUUUGCGUCCUCAGUUGUGGGAUCUCGACUGGCCUGGGAGCAAUGGUAAAUGUGGCGAAACCGCCGAAGGGUUCAACCGUGGCUGUUUUUGGAUUGGGAGCUGUUGGGUUAGCUGCUGCUGAAGGUGCAAGGAUUGCAGGGGCUUCGAGAAUUAUCGGAGUCGAUUUGAAUCCAAAUAGAUUUCAAGGAGCAAAGAAGUUUGGUGUGACUGAGUUCGUGAACCCGAAAGACCACAACAAACCUGUUCAAGAGGUAAUUGCUGAGAUGACAAAUGGAGGAGUAGAUAGGAGUGUCGAGUGCACUGGAAAUGUCGAAGCCAUGAUCUCUGCAUUCGAAUGCGUACACGAUGUAUGCAUCUUUCUUAUGGCCGUGCAUUCAAUUUGUGUUACGGAUUCUGAUGAAAGUGAGAAACUCCUGACAGGGUUGGGGAGUUGCUGUUCUUGUGGGAGUGCCCCAUAAGGAUGCUGUCUUCAAGACUCAUCCUAUUAAUCUACUGAACGAGAGGACUCUCAAGGGCACGUUCUUCGGAAACUACAAGCCACGUUCAGACAUUCCCUCCGUCGUAGAGAAAUACAUGAGCAAAGAGCUUGAAGUGGAGAAGUUCAUCACUCAUCAGGUCCCUUUCUCGGAGAUCAACAAGGCCUUCGACUACAUGCUCAAAGGCGAAAGCCUUCGAUGCAUCAUUCACAUGGAGGAGUAAAAGAGGCGGAUGAAGAGCCCCCGCUAGCACUGAAGAGAAAUAGAAGUAAAGCAUAAGAGUUCGUUAGAAGAGCGCGCCUAAGGGUCCAAUCCAGGGUUCGACUGGACCGUGUUUCUGCUAUCAUCCAUGUACUCCUUUCGGGAAUAAAAUUGCUCCUAGUUUGUGA